rfam:Gossypium arboreum cultivar AKA8401 contig_18581_5, whole genome shotgun sequence.
ACCCCAUGAUCAGGACACUUACAAAGUAAUUUUUUGAAUCUCUCCCACCCUACAUAUAAAGACUCAUCAUCCAAUUGUUGAAAACUGGUGAUCUCAUUUCAUAACUU